rnacentral:rRNA from 1 species
UACGAAGGUGGCAAGCGUUGUUCGGAUUUACUGGGCGUAAAGGGAGCGUAGGUGGUGCGGUAAGCCCUCCGGGAAAGCUUCAGGCUUAACCUGAAAAGGUCGGGGGGGACUGCCACGCUAGAGGACGGGAGAGGAGCGCGGAAUUCCCGGUGUAGCGGUGAAAUGCGUAGAGAUCGGAAAGAACACCAACGGCGAAAGCACUCUGCUGGGCCGACACUGACACUGAGAGACGAAAGCUAGGGGAGCGAAUGGG